rnacentral:rRNA from 1 species
AUUGAACGCUGGCGGCAUGCCUUACACAUGCAAGUCGAACGGCAGCACGGGAGCAAUCCUGGUGGCGAGUGGCGAACGGGUGAGUAAUAUAUCGGAACGUGCCCAGUCGUGGGGGAUAACGCAGCGAAAGCUGGGCUAAUACCGCAUACGAUCUACGGAUGAAAGCGGGGGAUUGCAAGACCUCGCGCGACUGGAGCGGCCGAUAUCAGAUUAGCUAGUUGGUGGGGUAAAGGCUCACCAAGGCGACGAUCUGUAGCUGGUCUGAGAGGACGACCAGCCACACUGGAACUGAGACACGGUCCAGACUCCUACGGGAGGCAGCAGUGGGGAAUUUUGGACAAUGGGCGCAAGCCUGAUCCAGCAAUGCCGCGUGCAGGAUGAAGGCCUUCGGGUUGUAAACUGCUUUUGUACGGAGCGAAACGGUCUUUCCUAAUACGAGAGGCUAAUGACGGUACCGUAAGAAUAAGCACCGGCUAACUACGUGCCAGCAGCCGCCGUAA